CGUGCUUAACACAUGCAAGUCGAUCGGUAACAGGUGUAGCAAUACGUGCUGACGAGAGGCGGACGGGUGAGGAACGCUUGGGAAUCUGCCUAUCAGCGGGGGACAACCCGGGGAAACCCGGGCUAAUACCGCAUACGCUCUACGGAGGAAAGCCGGGGACCGCAAGGCCUGGCACUGAUAGAUGAGCCCAAGUCGGAUUAGCUAGUUGGCGGGGUAACGGCCCACCAAGGCGACGAUCCGUAGCUGGUUCGAGAGGAUGAUCAGCCACACUGGGACUGAGACACGGCCCAGACUCCUACGGGAGGCAGCAGUGGGGAAUCUUAGACAAUGGGGGAAACCCUGAUCUAGCCAUGCCGCGUGAUCGAUGAAGGCCUUAGGGUUGUAAAGAUCUUUCAGUGGGGAAGAUAAUGACUGUACCCACAGAAGAAGCCCCGGCUAACUCCGUGCCAGCCGCCGCAGUAAUAC
rnacentral:rRNA from 1 species